AACAGGAUUAGAUACCCUGGUAGUCCACGCCGUAAACGAUGUCGACUAGCCGUUGGGCUCCUUGAGAGCUUUGUGGCGCAGUUAACGCGAUAAGUCGACCGCCUGGGGAGUACGGCCGCAAGGUUAAAACUCAAAUGAAUUGACGGGGGCCCGCACAAGCGGUGGAGCAUGUGGUUUAAUUCGAUGCAACGCGAAGAACCUUACCUACCCUUGACAUCGUGCGAACUUUCCAGAGAUGGAUUGGUGCCUUCGGGAACGCACAGACAGGUGCUGCAUGGCUGUCGUCAGCUCGUGUUGUGAAAUGUUGGGUUAAGUCCCGUAACGAGCGCAACCCUUGUCCUUAUUUGCCAGCGAGUCAUGUCGGGAACUCUAGGGAGACUGCCGGUGACAAACCGGAGGAAGGUGGGGACGACGUCAAGUCAUCAUGGCCCUUACGGGUAGGGCUACACACGUGCUACAAUGGCCGGUACAAAGGGUUGCGAAGCCGCGAGGUGGAGCUAAUCCCGAAAAGCUGGUCUCAGUCCGGAUCGGAGUCUGCAACUCGACUCCGUGAAGUCGGAAUCGCUAGUAAUCGUGAAUCAGAAUGUCACGGUGAAUACGUUCCCGGGCCUUGUACACACCGCCCGUCACACCAUGGGAGUGGACUGCACCAGAAGUGGUUAGCCUAACUUCGGAGGGCGAUCACCACGGUGUGGUUCAUGACUGGGGUGAAGUCGUAACAAGGUAACC
rnacentral:rRNA from 1 species